UUUGGGGGUUAGGAUUUCAACAGAAGAAUUUAGAGAGAACACAUUCAGACCAUAGCAGCAACAAAACAUCAACCCUGGAGAGAAAGACUGACUACUCAUUCUCUGACUCUCUGAUUGCAGCACGGUGCCAGGCACAAUGGUGAUUAAGACAGCUGCUCCCUGUUCUGUGUGGACACUUGUGGUCUAGACGGCAAGAGACAGACAAGUCAACACACUUCGGUGCCUACUCAGUGUGAAGAGGAUGAGGAUGAGGAUGAAAAUCUUUAUGAUAAUCCGGUUCCACUUAAGGAAGAGAACAUGGAUGGACCUGGAGGCCAUUAUCUUCAGCAAACUAAUGCAGGAACAGAAAAGCAAACACCACAUGUUCUCACUUAUAAGUGGGAGCUAAAUGAUAAGAACUUAUGAACACAAAGAAGGAAACAACAGACACUGGGGCCUACCUGAGUAUGGAGGGUAGAAGGAGGAAGAAGGGCAGAAAAGAUAAAUAUUGGGUACUGGGCUUAAUUCCUGGGUGAUGAAAUAAUCUGUACAACAAACCCCUGUGACAUGAGUUUACCUAUGUAACAAACCUUAACGUGUACCCCUGAACGUAAAGUAAAAGUUAAAAAAAUAAAAUAAAAUAAAUUUAGAGAAGAAAGAAAAC
rnacentral:lncRNA from 10 species